ACGUAGGGGACAAGCGUUAUCCGGAUUUACUGGGCGUAAAGAGCCCGUAGGCGGUCGGCUAAGUUGGACGUGAAAGCUCCCGGCUUAACUGGGAGAGGUCGGACAAAACUGGCGGACUUGAGGCUGAGAGAGGCGAGCGGGAUUCCCGGUGUAGUGGUGGAAUGCGUAGAGAUCCGGAGGAACACCAGAGGCGAAGGCGACACCCUGGGCCGUACCUGACGCUAAGACGCGACAGCACGGGGAGCGAACGG
rnacentral:rRNA from 1 species